ACGCUCGACACCUACGGGAGGCGCAGUGGGGAAUAUUGCACAAUGGGGGAAACCCUGAUGCAGCGACGCCGCGUGAGCGAAGAAGUAUUUCGGUAUGUAAAGCUCUAUCAGCAGGGAAGAAAAUGACGGUACCUGACUAAGAAGCCCCGGCUAACUACGUGCCGGCAGCCGCGGUAAUCUGAGCGGGCUGGCAAGGC
rnacentral:rRNA from 1 species